rnacentral:lncRNA from 1 species
CAUAAAGGAAUCUCAAGUGAAGGCCAAUCCUUCAGGCGACUUCAAGAGCAUGCACAGGCAUAUUUCAAAGGGAUCAUGGACUUUCUCUGACCAAGAUCACGGAUGGCAAGUUUCUGAUUGCACUGCCGAAGGACUUAAGUGUUGCCUUCUUUUCUCAAUGAUGCCACCAGAGACUGUUGGUGACAAAGUAGAGUCUCGACAGUUGUACGAUGCUGUCAAUAUAGUUCUUUCUCUGCAGGUUCCCGUCAAUCUAUUCCUCUUUCUAUGAUAUAUAUAUAUAUAUAUAUAUAUAAUGCAUAUAUUUAUUGUUGAACAAAUUCAUUAAUUCAUUGAUGCAGAGUAAAAAUGGAGGCUUAGCAGCAUGGGAGCCUGCUGAGGCUCAAGAAUGGUUAGAAGUGAGUGACUUUUUAUUCCUUUCUUUUUAUUUUUUUAGCGUUUUAAUUCAAUGAGCAAUUUUGUCCUGGAUGACUGCAAAUUUUCAGAUACUAAAUCCUACAGAAUUUUUCGCUGACAUUGUGAUUGAGCAUGAAUAUGUGGAGUGCACUUCAACCGCAAUCCACGCUUUAAUUUUUUUCAAGAAAUUACACCCAGGACAUCGAAAGAAAGAGAUUGAGAAUUUCAUCGUGAAUGCUGUAAGAUACUUGGAAAAUGUACAAACCAGGGAGGGUGGAUGGUAUGGGAAAUGGGGAGUUUGCUUCACUUAUGGAACAUGGUUUGCACUGGGAGGCCUUGCCGCUUCUGGCAAGACCUACAACAAUUCUGCUGUUGUCCGAAAAGGUGUUGAUUUUCUCCUCAGAAUUCAAAAAGAAGACGGAGGCUGGGGAGAAAGCUACCUUUCAUGCCCUACAAUCAUAUGAUUUUAAUUAAUUUGGUUUCAAAAGUCAAGACAAACAAGUGGCUAAAAGUAAGUUGCUGUGCAGAAAUAUGUAGCUCUAGAAGGAAAGCGAUCAAAUUUGGUACAUACAGCUUGGGCAAUGAUGGGUCUAAUCAGCGCAGGACAGGUGAGUGGUCUGAAAUGACUAUAUAUGUACAUUACAGCCUUGUUUUUAUAGUAUGUCGUUGAAUUGUGAUGGAUAUAAUCAUUAAUGAAGCAGAUGGAUAGAGACCCUACACCUCUUCACCGAGCUGCAACGCUGAUAAUUAAUUCCCAAUUGGAAGAUGGAGAUUUUCCUCAACAGGUAUAUAUCUAUAGGGAAGAUCGUUUAUUUGAUUUCUAUGUAUGUUGUGAUUUCUAUUUCCUCAACAUGAAAUGACAGGGGUGUUCUUGAAGAACUGCAUGUUACACUAUGCAGCAUACAGGAACAUCUAUCCAUUGUGGGCUCUGGCAGAAUACAGAAACCGAAUUCCAUUGCCUUCAACACCCAUCUAAUUAGAAUCAAUUCCUUCACUCUCACAUCAUGUGAUACUAUGUAUUGUGUACUGAAAAUUUCUGUAUUUCCAGAAAUAUAUAUAUAUGCACACACUAAUUAAUCCUGCUAUUAAAUGAAACACUAAGUAAUGUGAAAGAUUAAAAUAUUUUGAUUGGACUCUACUAGAAAUAUGAUGAUGGUAGCAUGAUUCCAUGUCCCCAUUAAAUCAGAGUCCAGAAGGUUGAUAGGAAGUCACUUUCCUUCACCUGCAUCGAAAUAUGUAUACAUCGCUCUUUAUGAGGACUGCAUGGUAAGUCAAAUAAAUAAAAAUCAUACGUAGAAGAAAGUAAAUGAAUUUUAAAAAAAAAUAAUAUUCAAUUAGUUUUAAAUUAAAAAUUUCAGUCUUGGCCAAAAAUUGAUAUUGACAUGCAGCUGCAAAUAGAUUUAGAAAGAAAGAAAGAAAUUGACUGCAAAUAGAUUUAGAUCGAACCAUGAAGAAUUUUACAUUAUGCCAAUUUUUGUACCCAAAUAACAAAUAAAAUAUUCUUAGUAACUACAUAUACAUAAUUUUCUUAAUCAAAUUUUCUUUUAUUACGUGUUAAAGAGGAAAAUGGUAUAUUGAUAUAUACAGAUAUCUACCAACUAAUAUAUGGACGGACCCCUAGUUAGACAAUAAUUACGAUGAGUUGAAAUCCAACAAAUUCAUUAGAAGAAAGUCUUUUACUUGCUAUUCUUAAUAGUAAAAAAAAAAGUGAACAACAGGUCUUCUUUGGCUAUAAAAAGGAGGGUGAGCUUGUUGAUCUUGGCGGUGCAGAGCUCUCUCCUCUUCUACUACUUCUUUCUUGAAAACCAUUUUACGUAUAUAUGUUGUUCAUAGCUUGCUUCUGUGAAGGAAGUACCAGAGCGAAGAGAUUGAUUUGAUCACUGUUCGAAAGGCUUAAUUUCUCAUAAUAUUGAUUGUUAUAUAGGAAGAACCAUCUGCUAGAAACAGGUACCUUGAAGAUAAUAUAAUAUGAGUACAGUGUUCCUGCACAAUUCAUAUAAUUAAUUAAUAAGAAUCGUACGUUGUAUUUGAGAAAGAAAGAAAAAAAGAAAGAUAGAGAAGAAUGUGGAGGCUAAAGAUAGCAGAAGGUGGCAACGAGCCAUACUUAUACAGCACUAACAACUACGUAGGAAGGCAAAUAUGGGAGUUCGAUCCUGAUGCAGGGACUCCUGAGGAGCGUGCUGCGGUGGAACAAGUUCGUCAAAAUUUCUACAACAACCGGCAUCAGGUCAAGCCCAGCAGUGACCUUCUCUGGCGUAUGCAGGUGGGUUUUUUUUCUUUUACUUGUUUUUUCUUUUAACAUACAUAUAACAUAUGCAUGUAAUAUUUGCUUGUUCUUGUUUGGAGAAGAGAAUUGACUUAUUUAAAUCCGGUCUAUGGACGAGUAGAUCCACAAAUUUAGUCCAAUAUUGACAACAUUAUUGUUCUAUGUUGGUGUUGAGAAUUUGGACCCUAUAAACAAAUUAAUUAAAGUAUUAAUAAUUUAUUUAAUAAAUUUAUUUUUAACACAAAAUGGUCUAAUUUAUUUUGAUUGAUUACUCUUUUCAUUAUAUGUCGUUUACUUAAUUUAUAUUUAUUAGAUUAUAAGAUUGCCCACACUGCAACAGUUGAUUUUAAAAAAGCUCUUUCCAUGGAAUCAAAUGUUAUCACUAUUUUUUUUUUUUGUUAUUAGGAAUUGACUAAAUCAGAUUAAGGAUUUAGUAAAUAUCAUCAAUUUUCGGCGGCUAUUUUUAGGCGUUAAAAUUAUAUAAGUAGCCCUUUAAUUACAUAAAUGUCCAAUAUUGAGUUUCGUGAUUGUAAGGCACAGAUAUGAGUUUUUUUUUUUUUUUUUUUUUUUUUGGAAAUGAAAUAAAUAAGAAAUCUAUUAUACGACUUUCUAAUUUCAGUUCUUAUUUUGUCGCUGCGCUCUGGCGAUAAACAUAGACAGAAAUUGAUAAAAAUAGUUCUCUUUAGGGUGGAGUUGAAAUUUGAGUAGAAAGUUACAAAAAGAAAGAAAAACGAAAAAGACUUGGUUUGGGCACGUUAGGUGGAGAAGCAAGUCGGAUCAUAGAUUUAAAUUUUACAUUCCCUUCCGUUUUCCACUGCUCUCUCUACUCACUCAUUGCCAACAAACUUGCGUGCUUCAUGGGCCCACUCUUUUUAUUCUACUACAGAAAUUUUUUUUUUUUUUUCAAAAAUUUAAGCUAAUAUCCUCCGCUAAAAUUAUAGUAGAGAAUUGAGAUUUUUUAUAUUCAUACACAAGUGUUUAUUCACCGUUAAAAGGACCUUUUAACUUUAAAGCAUGUUGAAUUCAUUUUUGAGAAAUAAAAAUUAACUUACAUUUAUUCAUUAUUAUUAUUUUUCAAUUCAAAAAAAAAAAUUUACUCUAUCAAUUAUUAAAAAAAUAAGAAGAAUAAAAUUAUAAAAAUAAAUUAAAAGUUUCAAUACCCAUAUCCAAUUUUUUUACCAUGUAUUAGAAUUAAAUUAUUUAAAUAUUAAUUUUUUACAUCUAAUAAAAUUCCAUUUAAACCUUUUAAAUAGUAAAAACAAUUCAAAGUUUAAGAUCAUAAUUCAUACUUUAAAAUAAAUUUAUUAAAAUUUAACAAUAACUAAUUUUUGCUUUCUUCUGUUUUUUAUAAAGCCAAAUUUACAUUGGAUUUAUAAAAAGUUGUAUAAUUCUAAAAUUUCAAUUAACUUUUAAAUAUACUUUUAAAUAUGCCAGAGCGAAGAGAUUGAGUUGAUCACUGUUCGAAAGGCUUAAUUUCUCAUAAUAUUGAUUGUUAUAUAGGAAGAACCAUCUGCUAGAAACAGGUACGUUGAAGAUAAUAUAAUAUGAGUACAGUGUUCCUGCACAAUUCAUAUAAUUAAUUAAUAAGAAUCACAGAUUGUAUUUGAGAAAGAAAGAAAAAAAGAAAGAUAGAGAAGAAUGUGGAGGCUAAAGAUAGCAGAAGGUGGCAACGAGCCAUACUUAUACAGCACUAACAACUACGUAGGAAGGCAAAUAUGGGAGUUCGAUCCUGAUGCAGGGACUCCUGAGGAGCGUGCUGCGGUGGAACAAGUUCGUCAAAAUUUCUACAACAACCGGCAUCAGGUCAAGCCCAGCAGUGACCUUCUCUGGCGUAUGCAGGUGGGUUUUUUUUCUUUUACUUGUUUAUUUUUUUAACAUACAGAUAACAUAUGCAUGUAAUGUUUGCUUGUUCUUGUUUGGAGAAGAGAAUUGGCUUAUUUAAACCCGGUCUAACGACGAGUAGAUCCACAAAUUUAGUCCAAUAUUGAUAACAUCAUUGUUCUGUGUUGGUGAUGAGAAUUUGAGCCCUGAGUAAAUUAAUUAAAGUAUUAGUAAAUUAUUUAAUAAAUUUAUUUUUAACACAAAAUGGUCUAAUUUAUUUUAAUUGAUUAUUUUCGUUAUUACAUGUCGUUUACUUAAUUUAUAUUUAUUGCCCACACUUCAACGGUUGAUUUUAAAAAAGCUCUUUCCAUAGAAUCAAAUAUUAUCACUUUUCUUUUUUUUAUUUUUUUAUAUAAGCUACGAGUACCCCGACUAAUUAUUAGGAAUUUACUAAAUCUGAUUAAGGAUUUAGUAAAUAUCAUCAAUUUUCGGCGCCUAUUCUUAGGCGUUAAAAUUACAUAAGUAGCCUUUUAAUUACAUAAAUGUCCAAUAUUGGUUUUUUUUUUUUGGAAAUGAAAUAAAUAAGAAAUCUAUUAUACGAUUUUCUAAUUUCAGUUCUUAUUUUGUCGUUACGCUCUGGCGAUAAACAUAGACAGAAAUUAACUUGUGUGCUUCAUGGGUCCACUCGUUUUUUAUUCUACUACAGAAAAUUUUUUUUUUUUAUUUCAGAAAUUUUUUUUAUCUUCCGGUAAAAUUAUAGUUGAGAAAUGAGAUUUUUUUAUCCAUAUAUAAAUGUUUAUUCACCAUUAGAUUAACAUAAUUAAAUAUAAACAGUAGAUUUAAAAAAUGAAAAUGACCUUUUAACUUUAAAACAUGUUGAAUUCAGUUUUUUAGAAAUAAAAAUUAACUUACAUUUAUUUAUUAUUAUUAUUAUUUUUGAAUUCAAAAAGAGAUUUACUCUAUCAAUUAUUUUUAAUAAAAUAAGAAGAAUAAAAUUAUAAAAAUAAAUUAAAAGUUUCAAUACCCAUAUCCAAUUUUUUUUAACAUGUAUUAGAAUCAAAUUAUUUAAAUAUUAAUUUUUUACAUCUAAUAAAAUUUCAUUUAAACAUUUUAAAAAGUAAAAACAAUUCAAAAUUUAAGUUCAAAAUUUAAGAUCUUAAUUCAUACUUUAAAAUAAAUUUAUUAAAAUUAAACAAUAAUUAAUUUUGCUUUCUUUUAUUUUUUAUAAUGCCAAAUUUACUUCGGAUUUAUAAAAGUUGCAUAAUUCUAAAAUUUAAAUUAACUUUUAUUUAUAUAUAUAUAUAUAUGUAUUUUUCUAUUUUAUUUAAUCUACAUAUUUUACAAAGUCCUAAACCAUAAUAUUCUAUGAUAUUUAAAUCUAAUUUUUUUAAUUAUCUAUCAUUAAAGUGAAAUUGAUUUUACAUAUUUUCAUUAGAGAUUAUAUAAUUCUAAGGUUUUUGAUGAUUUAAUUCUUAAUAUUCAUACAAACGGCAAUAUAUAUAUAUAUAUAUAUAUUUGAAUGAACAAUAAAUAAAUUUAACCUUAUAUGUGUGCUUUUAAGAUAAAAAAGAAAUUAUUUAAAAAAAUGUAAAAGAAAAAGUAAGAUAAUAAAAGAUUUAUUUAAUAGGUAAUUAGUAUUAUAAUAAAUUGAGAUAAUCACAUAUCACUCAAAUAGAGUUCUAUUUCAAUACAAAAUUAGUAAUUCUAUACUGUAUCAAAAGCCAAUAUCUCCGAUACUGUUUCUAAUAUGAUCUGCAAAUUGGGUACCAGUUUCUCAAGGAGAAGAACUUUAAGCAAACAAUACCCGCAGUGAAAAUAGAAGAGGGCGAACAGAUCACAUACGACAAGGCAACAGCAGCUUUGAGAAGGGCAGUCCAGUUCUUUUCGGCACUGCAGGCCAGUGAUGGUCAUUGGCCUGCUGAAAAUGCUGGGCCCUUGUUUUACCUCCCUCCACUGGUUAUAUGUGCAUUUACAUAACGGGACAUUUGGACACCGUCUUCCCAUCGGAGCAUCGCAAGGAAAUCCUUCGCUACAUAUACUACCAUUAGAAUCAAGAUGGUGGGUGGGGCCUCCACAUUGAAGGCCACAGCACCAUGUUCUGCACUGUUCUCAGCUAUAUCUGUAUGCGUAUUCUUGGAGUUGGACCUGAUGGCGGUCAGGAUAAUGCCUGUGCCAGACCCAGAACCUGGAUUCAUGACCACGGCGGCGUCACUUACAUACCCUCCUGGGGCAAGGCUUGGCUCUCGGUACGUAAUAUAUUUGUAUCCAUCCAUCCAUCAUUCAUCAUCUCUUCUACGGUAUAUAUGUAUAUAUAAUCACAUGCUUGCUUUAAUUCACAGAUACUUGGUGUGUACGACUGGCCUGGAUGCAGCCCAAUGCCUCCAGAAUUUUGGUUACUUCCUUCAUUCCUUCCAAUGUCUUCAGCGAAAAUGUGGUGCUACUGCCGGAUGGUUUACAUGCCAAUGUCUUAUUUGUAUGGGAAGAGGUUUGUUGGGCCAAUUACGCCUCUCAUUCUUGAAUUGAGACGAGAACUCCACACUCAACCUUAUCAUCAAAUCAAUUGGAAGAAAACACGCCACCUUUGUGCCCAAGUGAGCUAAUUAAUUUCCUCUUUCAAUUAAAUCAUUUAAUCAAUUAAACAUUAGCAUGAAAUUGCAAAUACAAAAUAAAUAAAUAAAUUGAAAAUGGAAACUACAGGAGGACCUGUACUAUCCGCAUCCUUUGCUGCAAGACAUAAUGUGGGACACUCUUUACUUGUUCACGGAGCCUCUUCUGACUCGUUGGCCCUUUAGCAGCUUUAUCAGAAACAAAGCUCUUCAAGUCACCAUGAAACAUAUUCACUAUGAAGAUGAAAACAGCCGCUACAUAACCAUUGGAUGUGUGGAGAAGGUGCUAUGCAUGUUGGCUUGCUGGGUCGAGCGGCCAUUAUUUCAAGAAACACCUUGCUAGGAUUCCAGAUUAUCUUUCGGUUGCUGAGGAUGGAAUGAAAAUGCAGGGUUUUGGAAGCCAGCAGUGGGAUACUUGAUUUGGAAUUCAGGCACUGAUUGCUACUAAUUUCACACAAGAAAUUGGAGACGUGUUAAAGAGAGGCCAUAACUUCAUAAAGGAAUCUCAAGUGAAGGCGAACCCUUCAGGCGACUUCAAGAGCAUGCACAGGCAUAUUUCAAAGGGAUCAUGGACUUUCUCUGACCAAGAUCAAGAAUGGCAAGUUUCUGACUGCACUGCCGAAGGACUUAAGUGUUGCCUUCUUUUCUCAAUGAUGCCGCCAGAGAUUGUUGGUGACAAAAUGGAGCCUCAACAGUUGUACGACGCGGUCAAUAUCCUUCUUUCUCUGCAG